ACACGCAUGACACACUGCAUAUCAAUAAGCGGAGGAAAAGAAACUAACUAGGAUUCCCUCAGUAACGGCGAGUGAAGCGGGAAGAGCUCAAAUUUGAAAUCUUCAAGGUUCUACCUUGACGAAUUGUAGUUUAAAGAAGUGUUUUCUGUUGAAGUUUUGGUAAAAGUUCUUUGGAAUAGGACAUCAUAGAGGGUGAGAAUCCCGUAUUUGACCAUUAUUUUCAACUUUGUGAUACACUUUCAAGGAGUCGGAUUGUUUGGGAAUGCAGUCCAAAAUGGGUGGUAAAUUUCAUCUAAAGCUAAAUACUGGCGAGAGACCGAUAGCGAACAAGUACCGUGAGGGAAAGAUGAAAAGAACUUUGAAAAGAGAGUUAAACAGUACGUGAAAUUGUCAAAAGGGAAGCGUUUGACACCAGUGUUGUUUUCUCGAAAAUCAAUUACGAAUGUUUUGUUUUUGAGGAGUUAUGACUUCAUCGGCUUGCUCCUUUCUUUAUGAAACUUUCUUAAUGCACUUUUCGGUUAACAAGUCAACAUCAAUUUCUUUUGUUGUAAAAGGGUAUGAGGAAGGUGGCUUUCUUUUCGGAGAAAGUGUUUAUAGCCUUGUGCCUCUGCAAUCGGAGAGAUUGAGGUCUGCAGCGUAGAUCCUUCGGGGUUAGAUACGUUUGUGCUAAGUUAUAGCUUUUCAUAGACAACUUGUUGACUAUGUUUAGUCUCGUAGCUUACUCGCUGACGCUAUUUUACCUACGCUUAGGAUGUUGAGGAUGUAGCACAUCAUACACGCAUGACACACUGCAUAUCAAUAAGCGGAGGAAAAGAAACUAACUAGGAUUCCCUUAGUAAUGACGAGUGAAGCGGGAAGAUCUUACUCGCUUGCGCUAUUUUACCUACGCUUAGGAUGUUGAUAGUCACAGCGUGUAC
rnacentral:rRNA from 1 species